GAGGACCGCACUCACCGGAACCGGCAGGCCGCAGCCGCCCCGCCACCCCGCGCGCCGCUGCCCGCUCCAAGACCACUUUCUGCGCUCGCCGCCGCCGACCGGCCGCUCCGCUGCUGGAGGCUGAUUGUCAAAAGUCGGUCGGAGCGGAGCCACCGGGAAACAGCUGCAGGAAGUGACUGCGGAACCGGGAGGCGGCGGCGGCGGCGGCGGCGGAGGAGGAGGAGGAGGAGGAGGAGGAGGCAGGGCUCCCGGCAGCGCUACUGCGCAUGUGCACGGACAAGCGGCUGCUCCCGCAGACCCGGGACGCCGAGCAGGUGCGGAACAGCGACUCGAAAGGGUACCCUACCCUGGCCCUGAUGGCUCCUCGGAGCUGCCCCAGCCUACCCUGAAAGCGAUGAGGGCAGAAGCUUGGCAGAGCCUGGUAGGAGGGCGGAGGUUCUCCUCUGAGACCUGGAAACUGCACUCCUUGCGCCUCCGCCCAAAGACAUUGGAAAGGAGCCCGCUCACCGGCAGGACCCGAAGGACUGCAGAAGUCCCCGGGAUACCUUCAAGAGAGGCGCUGGGAUGGAUUGCAGCCCUAGCUUGUUCUGCCGGCUUGUACCUUCUGCAUGUGAAUACUUGUAUAGUGGCUAGGGGUUUCUCCUUGGAUAACAUGACACGAAUUUUCCAUAUUACCGGCAGAGUAUGGUUUCGCAGCAUCAAGUACUUUCACAUUGUGUGUGGUUAUUGUGUAAACCAUAAACUAAAAUGCCAAGAUCUAAAUAUGGUGAGCCUCAACUCAGCCUAAUAGACUGCCUAUUUACACGGGAAUGCAAGGCUAUGACUGGAGCAUGCGCCAACAACCAGGUACGGGCGGGCUUCGCGAAUUCGAGGACUGUUCAGCAGACUAGACCAGUGUGCACCCGCCAUCGGGAAGAGUAAUCCACCGCACAGAUGAGUUCAGUGCACGUGCUGUAUAUGUGAAAAUACCAAAUGGCUUCAUUGUUUUAAAAGCAGCGGGGUAGAAACGCAUUUCUCAGCCCUUUGUCAGAACUUUGCCAUUCACUCUUGUUAGCUGGGACCAUGCUGGGCCCUGGCUGGCCUUUCCCAUCUGACAACCCUCAUCCUCGUUUUCACCCACAUGUCCCGUCUUAUAAAAUGGCUGGCAAAGGCAACGGAAGAAAAUUAAUUUUGGCUCGCAGUUUGAGGGUACAGUCCAUCACAGCAGGGAAGCCAUGAGAGCAAAAGUGGGGCAGCUGGUCACAAAUGUCCAUAGUCAGGAAACCGGGAGGAGCUGCUCGAUUGCUUUCCAUCCACGAAGCCGCCCACACUCAGGGUGAGUCUUCCCUCCUCGGUUUCUAAUCCAGAAACACUCCUAUUGACAGUCUGUACUAUCCAUCACAGGCCCAUAGUCUAGCGUUACCUCUGUGAUCUUACACAGCCUGUCCUUGGUGUUAAAUGCCUUUCUCCCUGUCCAUCCUUGCCCCCUGCAGCCUCUCCUACAAGCAACUUCCAUGGCCUCUCGGGCCACUGCAUGAUAACAAUCUCCAUUCCUCACAUGGGACUUUAUUACAUAUACUACUACCUUAAACUCCCUGAGUGCAGAAAGAGACAGGUCUUGGAGUCUUCCGUUUAUAUUUUAUAGUUUUAUGUGUAUUUGCAUGUUGGAAUAAAAUCUAAAAGCUGAAAGUAGGGGCCUUACCCGCUAGCUCAUACACAUACAUACACUCGAUGUUCCAAAUUUGCUGCCCCUGAUCCUACAACUUACUUCAAACAGCUCAGGCAUUUCCUUCUCUGGCCCAGGAAAAAGCAAGUAAUCCCAAGAUACUUGUUUCAUAGAAAUGUAAAUCUCAUGACAGAGAAAAUGGCCCCACAAAUUAGAGCUUUUUUUGUGAAUCACUGGGUCUUAUGAGAUUCAGUAGCCCCCCUCAAAUAAAUAAAUAAAUAAAUUUUUAAAAUAAAAUAAAUGAA